rnacentral:rRNA from 1 species
UUGACAUGCACGGAAAUCCUCCAGAGAUGGUGGGUCCGUAAGGGCCGUGCACAGGUGGUGCAUGGCUGUCGUCAGCUCGUGUCGUGAGAUGUUGGGUUAAGUCCCGCAACGAGCGCAACCCUCGUUCCAUGUUGCCAGCAACACCUUCGGGUGGUUGGGGACUCAUGGGAGACUGCCGGGGUCAACUCGGAGGAAGGUGGGGAUGACGUCAAGUCAUCAUGCCCCUUAUGUCUUGGGCUGCAAACAUGCUACAAUGGCCGGUACAGAGGGCUGCGAUACCGCAAGGUGGAGCGAAUCCCUUAAAGCCGGUCUCAGUUCGGAUUGGGGUCUGCAACUCGACCCCAUGAAGUCGGAGUCGCUAGUAAUCGCAGAUCAGCAACGCUGCGGUGAAUACGUUCCC